rnacentral:rRNA from 1 species
AUUGAACGCUGGCGGCAGGCCUAACACAUGCAAGUCGAGCGGAUGAAGGGAGCUUGCUCCUGGAUUCAGCGGCGGACGGGUGAGUAAUGCCUAGGAAUCUGCCUGGUAGUGGGGGAUAACGUCCGGAAACGGGCGCUAAUACCGCAUACGUCCUGAGGGAGAAAGUGGGGGAUCUUCGGACCUCACGCUAUCAGAUGAGCCUAGGUCGGAUUAGCUAGUUGGUGGGGUAAAGGCCUACCAAGGCGACGAUCCGUAACUGGUCUGAGAGGAUGAUCAGUCACCCUGGAAGUGAACCAGCGUCAAGACGACUAAGGGACGCACCAGUGGGGAAUAUUGGACAGUGGGGGAAAACCUGAUACAGCCAUGCCGAGUGUGUGAAGACGGUCUUCGGAUUGUAAAGCCCUUUAAGUUGGGAGAAAGGGCAGUCAGUUAAUACCUUGCUGUUUUGACGUUACCAACAGAAUAAGCACCGGCUAACUUCGUG